rnacentral:lncRNA from 1 species
AUGGCGCCUCCCCCGAGCUCCUCCUGUUCUUCACAGUGUACUACACCGCCUUCUCCAGCCCAGGGGAUGGCCCACCCCUGGCCCGCUUGUCCUGCAGGGGCCUCUCGCGCACCUUGCGCUCCACCUUCAGGUCGGUCGGCCUCUGGCGCCUCGGCGGUGCCGCAAGCGCCUGCACUGGCACCCGGCGCCUCAGCAGCCUGCGCCCCGCAGCUGGGUGUCCCCGUUCUGCAGGGGGAAGUCAUGUGCGUGGAAUCAGAGCACAGCGGCUCCUCGCCCAGCCGGAGAGGGCCCCUCCCAGACCCACAGCGUCGCAACCGGGUUCAGCACAGGGGGCUCGAGUUCCUCGGACACUCAACAGACAUCCCACCCACCUCAGCAAUGGGUGAAUGAGGCUGCUGGACACCUGGUCAAUUGCGAGCCCCCACCCCAGCUCAACACAGAGCAAGCGAGUCCCCCAGACACGCAGCCCACCCCAGGAGGGCGCAGAAAAGGAGCCGGGGCGGAAUGUGGGCCCCCUCCUUGAGUGGAGGUGAUGUGAGCUUCACAAUGUAUGUGAGUUUUAAACUGUGUUGAAAUGCAAAAGAAGUGUCCCCGAGUGAUUGCGAUGUACAGCUCAGGGUCACAGGCACUGCACGUCCCAUGAGUCGUCACAUUCUCCAGCUGGUCGGUCCCGACAGGGCCAGUGUCUGAUCUGACUCAGAGCAGAGCCGAGGUGGACAGGGGUCUCCACAGCUCUGAGAAAGUGCCCGUGAACUAUAGAGAGCUGACACUGAGGACAACCUGCCCCUCCCCGUCAACACUUUUCAUACAUGUUGACGACACUGAAAGUCAAAGCUGCACUGAGGUGGGCGCCGUUCUGAUAAAUAGAAAAGCAAAAGCAGUGUCCGCACCGGCUGUUUCUUCCCAGACCACUUCUGGCCGAGACCUCCCAGCCAGUUUGUGGCAGACGUGGGCUCAGACCCGGAUGGGACCGCUCCAAGCUGCUUCGGCCCGCAGCAGGUGUCAUUUCCCAGGAUCCCCUGAGGGAGCCCAGGCUGUGGGGGCAAGCAAGGAUGGGCCAGUUCCACGAUGGGCUAGAGCGCUGCACUAACGACGCCACCAAUCGGCGGCAAACGGGUUGAGCCUGGAGGAGAAAGCUCUCCCUACAGAGCCACAGCAGGUGUCCUGGAUGGCCAAGGGCUCUGCCCCAGGAUCUGUGCGCUCCUUCCACACAGUGGAACGAGUGGGACGGAGACGGGUGGAUCGGCAGGUGAAGGAUUUCCCACCUUCUGUGAUGAACAGAGCCAGCCGGGACCCUGCAGGGGCUCCAGAACCAUCAGCAUCGGCACCACGGGAAUGCGGACCCGCCCGGGACCAGGAUGUCCCACCCUCAGAGCAGUCAGGGGUGGGGCCGGAGGAAAUCCAGGACAAAACAUUUGGAGAUGGAGUGUGGUAACAGCUGCUGACCUGUCCACCAGGCAAGACCCUCCACCUGCAAAAAGAUUAUGACUCAUUAACAGCUCAGAUGGUGGUUAGCAUUUUUCAGCAAUAGAAUUUUUUAAUUAAGAUGUGUACAUUGCUUUCUUAGGUAUAGUGCUAUUGCACACUUAAUAGACUACAGUGUAAUAUAGACAUAACUUAUACGCACUGGGAAACCAAAAAAUUCGUGUGACUGGCUUUAUUGCGGCGGUCUGGAACUGAACCCGUAAUAUCUCCAAGGUGUGCCUGUAUUCGGUCGGCCAAUCCCCAAACACCAAGCCAACUCUGGCCCUUCUCACGCCAGACAAGGUUGACUAUGUGGCCACAGCCAAUCAGAUAUUUUCUAUUUGUCUCUUCCUUGUUCUUUAUUCUUUAUCCUAUAAAAUCUUCUUGCCUUCUGCUCCAUUGUGCAGUUCUCCUGAGGGAGACUGUCCACUUCAUGAUGUGUUAAAUAAAGUUUGUCUGUAUCACCUAAAUUGUCCUCUUUAAUCUCUUUUUUAACACAGAUUAGGGAUGCCACAGGAGAAAAUUAUGUGUGACGUGAAAGGAGGAAGUCAAGCAGUGGCCACUACCCUUGCAGGGGAACGUGGGAAGCCAGGCACUAUGAAACCUGCAUACGUCACUGACCUGCUGUCCCCUCGGCCCCUUGUCUUGUGUCAGGUGAGGGUCUGCGGCCAUGUGGUAAGGUCCCAGCCUCUUCUACAGGUUGCCUGCAUUAAUGAAGCUGAAGGGACACAAGACAGACAUGAUAUGUUUGCCUUCAGGGGCUCCAGGUUGUCCCUGGAUGUGCCAGCCUGUCCUUGCUCUCCCCCACUUCAGACCCAGACUCAAUGGCCUUCCACAGGCUUUUCACUAUUGCCUUGUCACUUACAAAGCUUCUACUUCUAUGAUUGAACUCUGAUACAGAAUCAUACACCUGUGUAUCUCCCUGUCUUAGCUAGAGACUGAUUGUUUGUAGAGAACAUAACCUUCUCAGUCUAGCUUUCUUUAAGGAAAGGUAUUCCAAAAAGAAAAACGGGCAAACCACUUGAAAAGGUACUUUACAAAAGAAGAUACUAAAUCUCUAAUAAAUACAUGAAAAGGCACUCAACUCAUUAGGGAAAUGCAAGUUGAAACCCUAAUGAAGUAGCACACCCACCGGAAUGGUGAAAAUUAAAAAGAAUGGCGAUUCUACAUGUUCACAAGGAUGUGGAACGACUAGAACUUGCAUACCCAGCAAUUCCACUCCCAAGACACCACAGAGAAAUGAGAGCAGAUAGCCACCAAAAGGUAAAUACAACAAUGUUCACACCAGUUUAUUGGUUAAUAUUAAAAAGAAAAAACUGGAAACAACCCAGUGUCCGUCAGUGAAUAAUGAACAAAUAAAUAAAUUGUGGUGUACUCAUAUAAUGGAAGACUACACAGCAGUUUAAAAAAAUCUAAAACUGUUGACACACAACAUGGAUGAAUGUCACAGAAACUUAGUUGAGUGAUGGAAGAUAAGUGCCACACAGCAGUCUCGACUCAUUCCUCCUGAAUGAGUGACUAGCUGGUGCUGAAGAGGACCUGAAGCUACGACGUGCUCACAUCGAUGUGAAGACAAAAGCCAGUGCCCAACAUGUUUCCAUCAACAAGCUGAUGCCCCUUGGAAGCUCGCUGGAUGUUCUUUUAACCUGUUCCACCUGGACAGCUGGGGAGAUGUGGCAGGACUUGAGGUCUGGAUUCAGGACUCCACCCUCAGAGGGUUCUCUGCUCAGUCCAAUUCAGGCCAUAAGACUCAAGAACCAGACAUUCUGUUUAAUUCCAGUUCGAAUUGUAAGUUGGCUGUCAGAUAGCAAGGGUUAAAUUAAAUACUUGAAGUAUAAAGUGCUACAAGAAAAUGUAUGUGGAUAUAUUAUCUAUCAGCAUUGUUGCUAUAUAUGUGUAUGUGUAUACUGAUAUAGGUACAUGUAUAUUAAUAUUGCUAAUAUUAGGACCACACCCAUAACACAUACCCCUCUAAAUCGAUACAUCUAUACACUGUUGUUAGCAUAUUUUUCCUGAAAUGCCGUUCUAUCUUUUUUAUUGUUUAGAGAGUAUGAAUCCCAGUCCACAAACCCAGAUGUGCAAUACAUAUUUUCUUUUCUAUAAGUCAAUGUAAUUUCUGACCCUAAGCUUUCAUUCUGCAGAGCUGGUGGGAAACAAUUCAGUCCGUGGGGAUGUCUUCUCCCCAAAUUUCAGCACUGUUCUGGGGUAUUUGGGAAUGUGGGGGGGGGGGUGCGGCGGGGCACAC